rnacentral:rRNA from 1 species
CCUACGGGUGGCUGCAGUGAGGAAUAUUGGUCAAUGGGCGCGAGCCUGAACCAGCCAAGUCGCGUGAGGGAAGACGGUCCUAUGGAUUGUAAACCUCUUUUGUCGGGGAGCAAAAGACGCCACGCGUGGCGUUCCGAGAGUACCCGAAGAAAAAGCAUCGGCUAACACCGUGCCAGCAGCCGCGGUAAUACGGAGGAUGCGAGCGUUAUCCGGAUUUAUUGGGGUUUAAGGGUGCGCAGGCGGAAGAUCAAGUCAGCGGUAAAAUUGAGGGGCUCAACCUCUUCGAGCCGUUGAAACUGGUUGUCUUGAGUGAGUGAGAAGAAUGCGGAAUGCGUGGUGUAGCGGUGAAAUGCAUAGAUAUCACGCAGAACUCCGAUUGCGAAGGCAGCAUACCGGCGCUCAACUGACGCUCAUGCACGAAAGUGUGGGUAUCGAACAGGAUUAGAUACCCGAGUAGUC